rnacentral:rRNA from 1 species
CUUCGCCGGCGACCGGCGCACGGGUGAGUAACACGUAUGCAACCUGCCCCUGUCAGGGGGACAACCCGCCGAAAGGCGGGCUAAACCCGCGUACAUGCCACCGGGGCAUCCCGGAGGCAGGAAAGGCUUCGGCCGGACAGGGAUGGGCAUGCGGCGCAUUAGGCAGUAGGCGGGGUAACGGCCCACCUAACCGACGAUGCGUAGGGGUUCUGAGAGGAAGGUCCCCCACACUGGUACUGAGACACGGACCAGACUCCUACGGAAGGCAGCAG